CAAUCAAGUGUCUUAAGGUCAUCAUUGAUACACCAGAGGAAGAGAUCUCAAAAGGAUCUCGUAGGUUUUGAAGCUACUGCAGGAAAAAUCGAUUAAGUGGGGACUGAAGGGGAAAAUGCGUGAACAAUACUAAUCUAAUUAGACAAUAUUAAUCGGAAAAGUUUAACUUUGGUAGAAAAUUAAUGAAAUCAAGUCGUUUCUCAAAGGGUGGUGCUCACAGAGUUGAAUGAUCAACAAUCAUAUUGUUGGUUAGAAUAUACAAUUGAAAGGUUGCGCAAGAGAAAGUAAUGUGAUUUUGAUUUUGAAAGAA